CAGCAAUUUCAGUUUCUUGCUGUUGGGU
rnacentral:sRNA from 1 species